CUUUUCGACCAUCAACCGUCACGUAACAGAAAUGCAAAUUACUAUUUGAUGUAGAUGCAGGAACUAGAUUUACAAAUCUAAACUCCAAGGUAGCAGCUUCAGUUUCUCAGUGAAAUAGGUAUUCAAACCUGAGUAACACAAUGGCCCAAUGUCAAAGAACUCGAGUCAUACAGCUCUACAAAAAUCUGUUGCAUAUGGGUCGUGAAUACCCAAAGGGAUACGAAUACUUCCGAGACCGACAGAGGAACGCCUUCAGGAACAACAGAACCAUUACGGACCCACAAGAAAUCGAGGCCCUUAUUGCCAAAGGGGAAUAUGUUCAGAAGGAAAUAGAAGCAUUGUAUUAUUUGAUGAAGUACCGGACUUUAAAAAGAAGAUAUUACAGUAGUCCCCCCACAGAAGAUCAGAAAUAGAGAUUUUGUUUGUGAUGUUGAAUAACUUAAGGGUAUAAAUGUUUGUACGAGGAAAAUAUGGCCAAGAUGAAGAAAAUGUUUGGACGAGGAAAAUAUGGCAAGAAUGAAAAAACAAUGUGAGAUACCGGCUGUGAUACUUGGAAAAUUUCACUACAAAGGGCAUUCCGGGAGAUUUUGUAGUUACUAUGCAUUUUCAAAAAAGGAUUAUUAUAUUGUGUGAAUUGGUGUUUUAGGAAAUUGAUUUUAUCUUGUUUGUAUUUCAAAUAUUUCAGUCAAAGCUCAAUAUACUUCCCAUUGUAUACAAUUUAAAGUCAAGACUCAAUAUGAUUUCCCUUUUUUUAUACAGUUAAACCUUGAUGUAAUGCUACAAUACAGUUAAAUGUUUUAACAGUUAAACCAUGAUUUUAUACACAACAUACUAGAAAAGGCAUAGAUAAAAUUCAAAUAUGAUUUAUUAAUUUUAGAUUCCUCAGCAACAUGAAUUACAAUCUUAAAUUUGGCUCUUCUUAGGGGCUACUCACCAUGUUGUAUACAUUUACUAAAAUAUAACCAUAACUUCAUAUUAAAAACACACGAUCAAAUUAAUUAAUUUUGAUAUAACCUGUAAAGGUAGUUAUUAUCUGAAUGGGGAAAAGGAAUUCCCUGGAAUUCUAAUGGCCAAAAAAACAAAAAAAA